rnacentral:rRNA from 1 species
GAGUUUGAUCUUGGCUCAGAUUGAACGCUGGCGGCAUGCCUUACACAUGCAAGUCGAACGGCAGCAUGAUCUAGCUUGCUAGAUUGACGGCGAGUGGCGAACGGGUGAGUAAUACAUCGGAACGUGCCCUGUAGUGGGGGAUAACUAGUCGAAAGAUUAGCUAAUACCGCAUACGACCUGAGGGUGAAAGUGGGGGACCGCAAGGCCUCAUGCUAUAGGAGCGGCCGAUGGUCUGAUUAGCUAGUUGGUGGGGUAAAGGCCCACCAAGGCGACGAUCAGUAGCUGGUCUGAGAGGACGAUCAGCCACACUGGGACUGAGACACGGCCCAGACUCCUACGGAGGCAGCAGUGGGGAAUUUUGGACAAUGGGCGAAAGCCUGAUCCAGCAAUG